rfam:Oryza rufipogon genomic scaffold, chr03
AAUAAAUGCAGUUUUAUCACUGUUCAUAUCCAACGUUUGACUGUUCGUCUUAUUUAAAAAAAGAUUAUAAUUAGUAUUUUUAUUGUUACUAGAUGAUAAAAUAUGAAUAAUACUUAACGUGUGACUAAUUUUUUAAAUAUUUUUCUUAAAAUUUUCAAAUAAGACAGAUGGUCAAAACGAUAAAUUCGGAUAUCUAUGGCUGCACUUAUU